rnacentral:rRNA from 1 species
UGGGGAAUUUUGGACAAUGGGGGCAACCCUGAUCCAGCGACGCCGCGUGAAGGAUGAAGGUCUUCGGAUUGUAAACUUCUUUUGAAGGGGAUGAAUGCCCUGGUGAAUAGCCAGGGGUGACAGUACUCUUCGAAUAAGCCACGGCUAACUACGUGCCAGCAGCCGCGGUAAUACGUAGGUGGCAAGCGUUACUCGGAAUCACUAGGCGUAAAGCGCAGGUAGGAGGUUUGGUAAGUCUGUUGUGAAAGCUCCCGGCUUAACUGGGAGAGGUCAACGGAAACUACCAGGCUAGAGUGCGGUAGAGGAAGGUGGAAUUCCCGGUGUAGCGGUGAAAUGCGUAGAUAUCGGGAGGAAUACCUAUGGCGAAAGCAGCCUUCUGGACCGUCACUGACUCUGAUCUGCGAAAGCUAGGGGAGCAAACAG